GCAAACUUGGUCAUUUAGAGGAAGUAAAAGUCGUAACAAGGUUUCCGUAGGUGAACCUGCGGAAGGAUCAUUAACAAAUCACAUAUGUAUGUAUGUGUAUGUUGUGUCAUAUUUAAUUGUAUGACAACAACAGCACAUAACAUUAACACCGGGUAUAUUCUUAUUGUCUUAAGGUGGUGAACACUGCCCUAUUAUGAUGAAAAUAUUGCCUUGUGGUUCGUGAUAUAUAUAGUAGAGUUAUUUAUUAUAUAUAUUGCAAUAUUAACGUUUUCAAUGAUUGACAGUAAAAGUCUUUUAUUAAAAAUAACAACUUUUAACAAUGGAUCUCUUGGCUCUUGCAUCGAUGAAGAACGCAGC
rnacentral:misc_RNA from 1 species